GAUCAUGGCUCAGGAUGAACGCUGGCGGCGUGCUUAACACAUGCAAGUCGAACGGAGUUAUAUGAAACCUAGUGAUUAUAAACUAGUGGCGGACGGUGAGUAACGCGUGGGUAACCUGCCUUAUACCGGGGGACAACAGUUAGAAAUGACUGCUAAUACCGCAUAAGCGCACGGUGUCGCAUGACACAGUGUGAAAAACUCCGGUGGUAUAAGAUGGACCCGCGUCUGAUUAGCCAGUUGGUGAGGUAACGGCCCACCAAAGCAACGAUCAGUAGCCGGCCUGAGAGGGUGAACGGCCACAUUGGGACUGAGACACGGCCCAAACUCCUACGGGAGGCAGCAGUGGGGAAUAUUGGACAAUGGGGGAAACCCUGAUCCAAGCGACGCCGCGUGAGUGAAGAAGUAUUUCGGUAUGUAAAGCUCUAUCAGCAAGGAAGAUAAUGACGGUACUUGACUAAGAAGCCCCGGCUAACUACGUGCCAGCAGCCGC
rnacentral:rRNA from 1 species